UUGGUAUUGAUGGUGGAUCUGGGUCAGUGCCCAUUGUUCAAGAAACUCGAUGGUGUUCCAAAUGAAAGCAACAGGGGGUGUUUUGGGGGUUAUCAUGGUUACCAUUUGAAGGAUUUGUUGGAUUGGGAGGCCAUUAAAAGUUACCUUGAAUAGGAAAUCGACCUUCCUGAUGAAGCUGAGGGAUGAUCUUGUAAGCAGGAAGGAAGGCUGCACAGCUGCUGCGCAAGAUGAUGGAGGGUAGACGCAGAUCGGCGGCGAGGGAUCCGGCAAAAAACAUGAGGUUAUCAUAGAUGAUAACGAUAGAUUCCUUUUCAGAUGUUGCCUUUUGUGUAUUUAUGAUCUGAAUCAGGUGUUUCUCGAGAUGGGGUCUGCAGUUAUCAUUGAGAGCUUGCAAGAACUGAAUGACGCCGGAAGAGACGCCUGUGCCGGAUAAGUUGUUCGGCAGAGGGAAGAAGACGAAGUUGGGGUGAUUAGAAGGAUCUGGACGAUUUAACUCAGAGUGAACAAUGGUUAUGGGGAACCCUCUGGAAUGAAGGUAUGAGCCAAGCUGAAGCAUGGGGGUCAUGUGGCCUUGAAGUGGACUGGAUAUCAGCACCAAUCGCCACCGACUUCCGCCGUGCUCCGUCAUGUCUCGAGAGAUUGGAUGUCUAAUUUCUGUAGUGGGUGGCCAUUUUUUUAUAUCCUGGGUUCGUCUUUGAUUGUUCUGCCCACAAUGUUUGACUUAAUUUUUCUUAAACAUGAAAUACUAUUUUAUUGGUGAAUAAAAUGAAAUCGAAGAUUCAGUUAAAUAA